GACAGAGGGUGCAAACGUUGUUCGGAAUUACUGGGCGUAAAGCGCGUGUAGGCUGCUCAGCAAGUCGGAUGUGAAAGCCCUGGGCUUAACCUAGGAAGAGCAUUCGAAACUUCUGAGCUUGAGUUCUGGAGAGGAAGGCGGAAUUCUCGGUGUAGAGGUGAAAUUCGUAGAUAUCGAGAGGAACACCGGUGGCGAAGGCGGCCGUCUGGACAGUGACUGACGCUGAGACGCGAAAGCGUGGGGAGCAAACAGG
rnacentral:rRNA from 1 species